GUUUGCCAGCAUCACAGUGAGUAUGAGUGAGUUCCAAUCACACCGUCUUGGCUAAACGCCAACGAAAGAUA
rnacentral:tRNA from 1 species